UACAGAGGUCCCAAGCGUUGUUCGGAUUCACUGGGCGUAAAGGGUGCGUAGGUGGUGCGGUAAGUCGGAUGUGAAAGCUCGGAGCUCAACUCCGAAAUGGCAUUGGAAACUACCUCGCUAGAGGAUCGGAGGGGAGACUGGAAUUCUCGGUGUAGCAGUGAAAUGCGUAGAUAUCGAGAGGAACACCAGUGGCGAAGGCGAGUCUCUGGACGAUUCCUGACGCUGAGGCACGAAAGCCAGGGGAGCAAACGGG
rnacentral:rRNA from 1 species